GAUGAAGAACGUAGCGAAAUGCGAUAAGUAAUGCGAAUUGCAGAAUUUCCGUGAAUCAUCGAAUCUUUGAACGCACAUUGCGCCCGCCAGUAUUCUGGCGGGCAUGCCUGUUCGAGCGUCAUUUCAACCCUCAAGCCCCCGGGCUUGGUGUUGGGGAUCGGCGUGCCCUCGCGGCGCGCCGUCCCCUAAAUCUAGUGGCGGUCUCGCUGUAGCUUCCUCUGCGUAGUAGCAACACUCGCACUGGAUCGCAGCGCGGCCACGCCGUUAAACCCCCCACUUCUGAAAGUUUGACCUCGGAUCAGGUAGGAAUACCCGCUGAACUUAAGCAUAUCAAUAAGCGGAGGA
rnacentral:misc_RNA from 1 species